UUGAAAAUAGAUCCAUCCUUUUCUUUUCUGCUUCAUAUGUUAUUUCUCGUUUAUCCAUGAAUGUGAUUGCCCCUGAAAUCUUUUUGGCUCAUCGAUUAUCUGAACAUGAUCAUGUCAGUUUGUUUGAGAUUGGGGAUUUCGGAGUACUAAUCAUCCAUCUCUCAUUAUACAAUUAGGGUGAAUUAAGUAUUUAGUUGAUUUCUGGACAGAUUGAAGUAUAUAUAUUUUACUGACUAGUGUUACGUGCUAUGUUAUUAUAUGUUUAUGUAAUUCUUAUAGUUCCAUCUACAUUUUUUAUUUACUUAGCUAUGUUGCAACUCUUCGUUCCUGAUUAGAACCAUCAUGUUAUUUUAAUGUUGUUUUUCUUGUUGUUGAUUUGGGAUGUGUUCUGUAACAGCUUCUGUUUCAGAGAAUGGUUUUAGUUCAGGCUAGCUUUCUGCUCAUAGGUAGAACUUUGCAUCUGAUAUCAACUUUAAUGAAUUUUGACUAUUGUUGGGGAUGUUCUGAAGCUUGUGGACUGUAUGCUUGUAGCUGAGCUCAACCUCCAAGGCCUCUCCCUUCUCUUAUCACAUUUAUAUCCAGCAUCCAGUCUCAGGUUUCACUAUAUACUAAUUACUACUACCGUUGAAAUGAUUGGGUCUCAAUCUUCCUAUUUCCCUUUGCAGCCUGCAAGGAUCCCCAACCAUGCUGGGUGCUAAUGAUUGAGGUAUGUACUGCUUGGAUUUGCUCAGCUAAAGAAACACAUCGCAAUCAUGAUGUGUACCGACAAUUGGCUCAUUGUGGCGAGAAGCCUUUGUUUAGUCUCAAACUUCCUGGGGGAGACUAGCGUGAUUUUUGGACAGCCAUCAUGGACAAACAUUUUUAUUUUGUUCUUUGGACAAAUACGGGUAUCGUGUAACCAAACUUCCUUGCAUGUGCUACAAGUGCGUGGCACCUAAGAUGGCUGGAACACUAAGCAGAUCGGGUGGGCAUGCCAAGACUGGCAAGGGUGAGGUGGCAUUAUGCAUCAUAAGCACCUGAAUCAGAUGGUCGCAUAAUUAUAUUAUCAUUCAUUGUUUUCAGACAAAAUGUUUAUUCCAUGGUUGGUAAUGUUAAGGCUCCUCUGUUACUUCUCAAAGCAACCACACAUUUUGUAGCAAUGUUGAUGCUGCACGCCUGCUGCCAAUUUGAUUCUGCAUUUAGUACUAUGUGAGUGAACUAAGAAAGUGUUGUUUCUUUUCAGGCUAGUAAAGCAUCAUUGUGCACUUCUGGAACAACUAUCAUGGAAGUAUGGAACUAAUGCUAGCAAAACUACUCUGUGUAGUCACCUGAGGAAAAAGAUGGAACUUUAUUUUCCUGCCCAACAUUCUUUUGGAAUCUCCUUUUUUAUAUGCCAUGCUUUUUCAAGCUAGUACAGAUAAAGAUCUAGUCACAAAGAUAAGGUAAUUUGUUUCUAAUCUACUACACCUUAUAUAUUAAGAGGUACAAAGGGAGCGUCCAUAUAUGCAAUUAUUCUCAAUUGCAACAUAAUUGUUUAGUUGAGCUACUGAACUUGCUGACAGGAAAAUGCUCAAGGGUAACAACUUGAAAAUUUUCCAGGUAACUAAAUAAGAUAUUCUGACACUUUAAAAGUUGUUGUUUUAGCCAGACCACAUUCUAUUUGUGUCAGCCUACUAUAUUCUACAGUUACACUAAGAACGGAAGUACACCAGUACCAGUUUGUUUAGGUCACUACAACAUUGUGGCCAUAGUGGGUGGAUUAGGAUGCAACAUCUGUUUGUAUCUGCUGGUAUGGCAAUUUUGCUACUUGCUAGGAGAUGUUCAUCUCCAGCGUUUAUUGCAGUUUCAAAAAGCAGUUCAAUCACCUCGUAAUAGUUAUGGUGUACUAAGAUUUGGGUUAAAUAUCGGUUUGAUACACGCUGAAUUUUGAGUUAGUCUCCAAAUAGAAGUUGUAGUGUACUUCUUAAGCUUUCUAGAGAGUAUUUAUUUGUGUAUUUUUACUGGGCAGUUUGAGAGCAAUGACCACCUCAAGCUUGCUGUCCCCAAAUUAGUAUCUCUAUUCGGACAUGAUACUACAAAAGAAACAAUGCAUUGAUACUUUCCCUGUUCCUUGUAUGUUUGCUUGCUAUUUACAUAUUUAACCUUCCAAAAUAGGGCCACCAGUCAUGUCAGGAAUGCCAUUGUAUUAUUACCACACUUGAAUUGCUGGCCGACGAUGGUAAUUCAUACAACUGUAUUAUUUGCAUUGCUAAACUAUCCUGGUAUAUAUUUAGGAUCCUAUGCUACUUAUUUAGAUUACAAAUAAACUUUUCAUGUUAAUGUUUAUGUCGGUAUAUGUGCCAGCUUACACCCAGAUUUGUUUUGCCUUAUGCAGAAACUACUGGAUACUUUACAUCAAGCUUGACCAAGUAUGUCCCUUGUUGCUUCAGACAUUAGUUAUCUUCCUGCUGUUGUUAUACCUGGUGAUAGAGCUCCAUUGGUUUCUUCAAAGGGACAAAUGGCAGAAAAUAGCAAGUCCACAAGUUGAUCUAAGAUGCUCCGUGAUCGCUUUUGUUGAUAACAUUGUUGACACCUUUUGUUCAUACAGAAGUUAAUGUUAGCUUGGUGAUCGAAGAAUUGGUCUCUGCCAUCUAAUUUUGUAGUAGUCAGUGAUCAAACAAUUGGUCUCUUAGGAUCUUAGCCAUCAAAUUUUGCAACAACUUGUCUUGUAUGUCAAACUUAUGUAUUUCCUUGAUGGUUGUAGCUCACUUGAGCAAAGAAAACAAAUGAAUCUUUAUAUAUGUUGAAUGAAUGUAUGGAUGAAUGGCAGUUUGUGAUGAAUAGAAGAGUGCAAUUGCGUAUAUGCAUUGUGUACUAAACAUGAAUUAAAUAUUAUGAAUGUUAUUUAAUGUUAAAAUA